rnacentral:rRNA from 1 species
UACGUAGGGAGCAAGCGUUGUCCGGAAUCAUUGGGCGUAAAGCGCGCGUAGGCGGCCUCAUAAGUCCGUUGUGAAAGUCAAAGGCUCAACCUUUGAAAGCCGGUGGAUACUGUGGGGCUAGAGUACGGAAGAGGCGAGUGGAAUUCCUGGUGUAGCGGUGGAAUGCGCAGAUAUCAGGAGGAACACCAAUAGCGAAGGCAGCUCGCUGGGACGUCACUGACGCUGAGGCGCGAAAGCGUGGGGAGCGAACAGG